GGUUUUAUCGUAUAGUCGGUUAGUACAUCGGAUUCUGAUGCUAUGUCAAAUUCCGGUAACCUGAGUUCGAGUCUCAGUAAAACCU